CCUACGGGAGGCUGCAGUGAGGAAUAUUGGUCAAUGGACGAGAGUCUGAACCAGCCAAGUAGCGUGAAGGAUGACUGCCCUAUGGGUUGUAAACUUCUUUUAUAUGGGAAUAAAGUGUUCCACGUGUGGGCAUUUGUCUGUACCAUAUGAAUAGGGAUCGGCUAACUCCGUCCCAGCAGCCGCGGUAAUACGGAGGAUCCGAGCGUGAUCCGGAUUUAUUGGGUUAAAGGGGUGGGCAGGCGGAAGACCAAGUCAGCGUUAAAAUUGAGGGGCUCAACCUCGUCGAGCCGUUGAAACUGGUUUUCUUGAGUGCGUGAGAGGUAUGCGGAAUUCGUGGUGUAGCGGUGAAAUGCAUAGAUAUCACGCAGAACUCCGGUUGCGAAGGCAGAAUACCGGCGCUCAACUGACGCUCAUGCACGAAAGUGUGGGUAUCGAACAGGAUUAGAUACCCCAGUAGUC
rnacentral:rRNA from 1 species